ACUCAAAUGAAUAGACGGGGACCCGCACAAGCAGUGGAGCAUGUGGUUUAAUUCGAUGCAACGCGAAGAACCUUACCCAGAUUUGACAUGCAGUAGACAGCGCCAGAAAUGGCGUCUCCCUUCGGGGCUGCUGCACAGGUGCUGCAUGGCUGUCGUCAGCUCGUGCCGUGAGGUGUUGGGUUAAGUCCCGCAACGAGCGCAACCCUUAUCGUUAGUUGCCAACACAUAAUGGUGGGAACUCUAACGAGACUGCCUGGGUUAACCAGGAGGAAGGUGAGGAUGACGUCAAGUCCGCAUGGCCCUUAUGUCUGGGGCUACACACGUGCUACAAUGGUCGGUACAGAAGGCAGCGAAACCGCAAGGCGGAGCAAAUCCCAAAAAGCCGAUCCCAGUUCAGAUUGUAGUCUGCAACUCGACUACAUGAAGAUGGAAUUGCUAGUAAUGGCGAGUCAGCAACAUCGCCGUGAAUACGUUCCCGGGUCUUGUACACACCGCCCGU
rnacentral:rRNA from 1 species